rnacentral:rRNA from 2 species
GGGUUGUGAGGUUAAGCGACUAAGCGUACACGGUGGAUGCCCUGGCAGUCAGAGGCGAUGAAGGACGUGCUAAUCUGCGAUAAGCGCCGGUAAGGUGAUAUGAACCGUUAUAACCGGCGAUUUCCGAAUGGGGAAACCCAGUGUGACUCGUCACACUAUCAUUAACUGAAUCCAUAGGUUAAUGAGGCGAACCGGGGGAACUGAAACAUCUAAGUACCCCGAGGAAA